UCACCUUUAGCAGGGUGCUAAGUAGCAUUAGCUUAAAAUGAUAUUAGCUGCACAUGUUUAAGUUUAUGUGGCAACACUUUUACAAAGUCUGAUACAAGAUGGCGUCGGGAGAACACACCUGCUCUCGCGCUCUGAUUGGAGGGGGCGGACGCACGUGGACCAACAUGUUUGCGCUCAGGAAGAAGAACACGUGUUUCUAUUUGGACUUUUAUUAAUGUUAACUUCUCAGGACCCCACAUCACGGACCCAUCAGCUUCCUGUCAUCACCAAAGGUUAAACGCCAGACAGGCCUCUCUGCUGUUUGUCCAAACCCUCCCUGUGAACCUGGAGUCGACCUCCGACGCUCCAUUACUCUGCAGACAAGAGACGAAGAGGAGGAGGAAGAGAUGGAGGGAGAUACAAAGGUACGAGGAAGGCAGAGAAAAAGGCAAACGAAAAGAGAAACCGACACAAACACUUAAUAAUUUCUUUUCCCUUGGAGUGGACGGCCUCAGCGCUCCAAUUCAUCUUCGUUCUCCUCACAGCGGUGUGUUCAGAGAAGGUCAAAACCCGGAAAAUAGGCUACACACCAGGCAUUUUGUCACCAGACACCCUUCACCUGCCUCCCAACGCCGAGGAGCCGCACACAACUGGGACACGGCCGCAGCCAAAAAUACAUCAGGUGGAGCAGAUCAUCAGCAGCAGCACUUCACGCAUUUUCACCACAUUCGUUCUGCAUUUGUUGUCCUUUGGGGGGAAAAAAGCAAAAGACCGGGACGAGGUGACAUUUUGUGGCUCGGAGUUUGUGUUUGUUCACAUGUGAAGCGGAGCUGAAGACACGUGUCCUUCACAUUAACUCCUGGUUUAAGCUCAUUUAGUUCAGUUCACGAUUCACAGAGCAAAGUCAAAAAGGUACAAUCCAAACAAUACAAGAAGCAGAAGAACCACGAGGCUGCAUCCUGCGGAGGCUGCGUAGAUUUCAGCUCAUCACAGACGGAAUGAAGCGUCGGUGGAGUCGAGCGGUGCAGGGAGCGUCGGGUCAAAUUUCCAAACGCACCCUGAGCUCCGAGCCCCGUGGAGACGACAGCGCAACGACACAAAUGGCUGCGUGGCAUUUAGAGCAGAAAGUUACUUCUUCUGCGCUGACCCGCUAAGUCGAGCUUUACGAGCGGAACCAGGAGAGAGACGAGUCGAGCUUUUGAAAUGAGCUACUGUACGAGUGCGGUAGAGGAAACGCUUGUCGUUACAUUGAUGACGAUGACUGAAGUAAGUGGAGGUAAGACAGAGAAGAGCAGCAGCUCAUGUACAACAAGGGAUUGGUUAAGAAACUGUUCGGAGGUGAGCUGUCGCUCCAAACUCUCCCUCAUCUCUCGUUCCCUGUAGAGCUCCAUCUUCAGCUCCCUCUUCUCCGCCUGGAUCUGUUUGUCCUGCACCCGAGCGUUCUCCACCGCCACCUUCAACAGACCCUGAGGGCAGAGAAAGGACCGUUUACAACAAAAUGCUAAAGUAUAUGAGUGGAAAACAACUUAAUUUACAGCUGAAAUCAAGGAUUUAGCUUCUUUAUGACGUCUGGUUUGAUUAUUAUAUCCACAAUAAGGAGCAU